rnacentral:tRNA from 1 species
GCCUAGUUAGCUUAGUUGGUAGUGCGUCUGCCUUGUAAGCGCUAGGCCGCGGGUUCGAUUCCUGCCGGGGGCG